rnacentral:rRNA from 1 species
UACAGAGACGUCGAGCGUUGUUCGGAUUCAUUGGGCGUAAAGGGUGCGUAGGCGGUGAGGUAAGUCGGAUGUGAAAUCCCAAAGCUUAACUUUGGAAGUGCAUCCGAAACUGCCUUGCUAGAGGACUGGAAGGGAGACUGGAAUUCUCGGUGUAGCGGUGAAAUGCGUAGAUAUCGAGAGGAACACCUGUGGCGAAGGCGGGUCUCUGGACAGUUCCUGACGCUGAGGCACGAAAGCCAGGGGAGCAAAC